rnacentral:rRNA from 1 species
AUUGAACGCUGGCGGCAGGCCUAACACAUGCAAGUCGAGCGGAUGAAGGGAGCUUGCUCCUGGAUUCAGCGGCGGACGGGUGAGUAAUGCCUAGGAAUCUGCCUGGUAGUGGGGGAUAACGUCCGGAAACGGGCGCUAAUACCGCAUACGUCCUGAGGGAGAAAGUGGGGGAUCUUCGGACCUCACGCUAUCAGAUGAGCCUAGGUCGGAUUAGCUAGUUGGUGGGGUAAAGGCCUACCAAGGCGACGAUCCGUAACUGGUCUGAGAGGAUGAUCAGUCACACUGGAACUGAGACACGGGCCAGACUCCUACGGGAGGCAGCAGUGGGGAAUAUUGGACAAUGGGCGAAAGCCUGAUCCAGCCAUGCCGCGUGUGUGAAGAAGGUCUUCGGAUUGUAAAGCACUUUAAGUUGGGAGGAAGGGCAGUAAGUUAAUACCUUGCUGUUUUGACGUUACCAACAGAAUAAGCACCGGCUAACUUCGU